rnacentral:rRNA from 1 species
AAUCAACGCUGGCGGCGUGCCUAACACAUGCAAGUCGAACGCGAAAGUCCCGCAAGGGAUGAGUAGAGUGGCAAACGGGUGAGUAACGCGUGGGUGACCUGCCUUCGAGUGGGGGAGUAACGUCCCGAAAGGGACGCUAAUACCGCAUGACAUCCUGCCUUUGAAGAGGUGGAGAUCAAAGCUGGGGAUCGCAAGACCUAGCGCUUGGAGAGGGGCCCGCGUCCGAUAGCUAGUUGGUGGGGUAACGGCCUACCAAGGCAUCGAUCGGUAGCCGGCCUGAGAGGGCGGACGGCCACACUGGGACUGAGACACGGCCCAGACUCCUACGGGAGGCAGCAGUGGGGAAUUGUUCGCAAUGGGCGCAAGCCUGACGACGCAACGCCGCGUGGAGGAUGAAGACCUCGG